rnacentral:rRNA from 1 species
UACAGAGGUCUCAAGCGUUGUUCGGAUUCAUUGGGCGUAAAGGGUGCGUAGGUGGCGAGGCAAGUCAGAUGUGAAAUCCCGGGGCUCAACCCCGGAACUGCAUUUGAAACUGCCUUGCUCGAGUACUGGAGAGGAGACUGGAAUUUACGGGUGUAGCAGUGAAAAUGCGUAGAGAUCGUAAGGAAGACCAGUGGCGAAGGCGGGGUCGUCUGGACAGUUCCUGACACUGAGGCACGAAGGCCAGGGGAGCAAACGGG